rnacentral:rRNA from 1 species
CCUACGGGUGGCAGCAGUGGGGAAUAUUGCACAAUGGGGGAAACCCUGAUGCAGCGACGCCGCGUGGGUGACGAAGUAUUUCGGUAUGUAAAGCCCUAUCAGCAGGGAAGAAGAUGACAGUACCUGACCAAGAAGCCCCGGCUAACUACGUGCCAGCAGCCGCGGUGAUACGUAGGGGGCAAGCGUUAUCCGGAUUUACUGGGUGUAAAGGGAGCGUAGGUGGCAUGGCAAGCCAGAAGUGAAAACCCGGGGCUUAACCCCGCGGAUUGCUUUUGGAACUGUCAGGCUGGAGUGCAGGAGGGGCAGGCGGAAUUCCUGGUGUAGCGGUGAAAUGCGUAGAUAUCAGGAGGAACACCGGUGGCGAAGGCGGCCUGCUGGACUGUAACUGACACUGAGGCUCGAAAGCGUGGGGAGCAAACAGGAUUAGAUACCCCUGUAGUC